rnacentral:rRNA from 1 species
CGUGUAGGCGGGGAUGCAAGUCAGAUGUGAAAUUCCGAAGCUCAACUUCGGCGCUGCACCUGAAACUGUAUCUCUUGAGUGCUGGAGAGGAAAGCGGAAUUCCUAGUGUAGCGGUGAAAUGCGUAGAUAUUAGGAGGAACACCAGUGGCGAAGGCGGCUUUCUGGACAGUAACUGACGCUGAGGCGCGAAAGCGUGGGGAGCGAACAG